GACCCGCGGGAAGGGGGAGAGUGGGUCCCACGGGAGGCCUUCUCUUGCCCUUCACACGCGUACGGCGGAAGCCCAUCUCCCCCGUUUUUCCACCUCCUCCCCUCCAUUUUUUUUUUUCUCUGUCUUUUCUCUCUCUAUUCUGACGGUGGAAUCGCCUGAAACUCUGGCUUUCAUUGCCGACGAGACGUCCUGAUAUUUAUCGGCAUUGCAAUCUUAGCCAGGUGACGCCGUCGUCGUUUUCAUUUGACGACGUCGUCGUCGUUCUUCAUUUGACGUCGCCUCCUCUCUCUCUCUCUCUCUGGGCUCUGGUUCUCAUUGAGGAGGGAGGAUGAUCAGGAGCGCGGAUGCUGGAGAUAGGGACGUCGUAUCGUUCGGGCUGUCUCGUUUGUUAGGCGAGUUUGAAGGGUUGAUUGGAAUGUCGGAGAGUUAUGACGGGAUUCGCCGAGUUUGAUCUCAUCUUCAUUUUCCCCUCUCCGGUUCAUUGACGAGAUAGCGCUUACGCCCAAGCAGAUGGGUCAUGGCAAAGAAGCCCUUAUUUUGGUAUUUUUCCUCCUGCUAACCAGUCUAGGGGCAUUGGGGAGGCACACAGUUAAGGAGUUAUUGACGCUGAUAAAUGACCGGUCUUUAGAGGAAUCUGGAGAGAUUGGGCAAGAUAUGGUGAAUCAAUUGUGGAUUGCUUGCAAACAGGAUCCUGCGAGUAUUGAUGCUUCUUCCGGGAGACCAGAAUUUGGGGAGAUGAAUGAUUCUAAUUUAGAAGAUUCUAAUUUAGAAUUUAGUCCAUCAACAGUAGCCAAUGUUCAGAAGGCCAUAAAUCUGCUGCCACCUCAAAUGAAGGACUCACUCUUGGAUUGCCUCUCAAGAGCCAAAUUUCUAGAAAGUGUGUCAGGAAAAGAUGACAGAUCUAGUACCUGGUAUAUUGAGCAACUUGAGUAUUUGCUUGGAUGGCAUAGAAAAUGGAGAAGAUAUUUGGCUGAUGAAAUGUCAUUUGCUACCAUAGCUCAUCAUCAUCGGCAUGCUCAUUCUCAUUCUCAUUCUCCUGCUCCUGCUCCAGCUUCUGUUUCUUCUCCUGCCCCUACUCCAUUUUCUGGUCAAGCACCCGCAAGUUCCCCUACACCGGUUACAGGUCCAACUCAGCAAUUCUAUUCCUCUUCAUCAAAUCAGUUUGACUCCUCUAGUAAACCGCCUAUUAGUGGGACAGAUAUACAUGGAAAUGCAAAUCCUGACCCACCACUGUCAGAAAACAAUCUCGAUGCCACAAGGGUUAUUGCAGUGUCUGUUGCCGUAACUGCAGUUUCUACAUUUCUUUUUUCUGGAUUGCUCUUCUGUUGUUACUACAAAUGCUGCAGGAGCGGCACAAGCUCAGGGAGCUCACGAAGGGACGAGAGGCCUCUUCUUGCCUUAAGUAUGAGCGACUUUUCAGUAGGAUCUUCACCAAAGUCAUUGAUUAUGGAUAACUCUCUAGUCGGUGGAUCACAUAUGGGAAUGAACAAUGAGAAGUUUGCAGCAUAUUCAUUUUCAUCAAACCCAAGCAAGCUUGGACAGGCCGGCGAUCUUGCAUUGUCCCCUGCUCUUUCUUGGCAAGGCUUGCAGUCUGUAUCUCUUCAAAAUGGUGCUGCCUUCGUACAAUCUGAGAAAUCCCAUCUUUCAUUUUCGCGAGCUGAGACUCCAUCAGGAAUGCCUGAGAAAUCCCAUCUUUCACUUUCACGAGCUGAGACUCCAUCAGGAGUGCCUCCUCCACCAGGCCGUCUGCUGUCAAAUAAUCAGCCAAGUCCCACUCCUACCCCAUCUGAUUCUCCUGCCUCUGCUGCCCCUCCUCCACCCUCCUCCUCUCCUCCUCCUGGAUCAUCCCCUCCUCCACCACCAUUGCCUAAUGGCGGGAAGCCUGGUUCUGCUGGACCAUCCCCUCCUCCACCGCCAUUGCCUAAUGGUGGGAAGCCUGGUCCUGCUGGACCAUCCCCUCCUCCGCCACCAUUGCCUAAUGGUGGGAAGCCUGGUCCUGCUGGACCAUCCCCUCCUCCACCACCCUUGCCUAAUGGUGGCAAGCCUGGUCCACAGCCACCUCCACCACCCAAAGGUGCUGUUCCUCCUCGUCCGCCGCCUCCGACCAUGAUUCCAAAAACUGGUCGGCCUUCUCCACUUGGACGAAAUAAAGAAGGAACAUCUACAAGUGGAAACAAAUCUGAUGCAACAGAUGAAUCUGAAGCUCCAAAAGCAAAGCUUAAACCAUUUUUCUGGGACAAGGUUAUGGCGAACCCUGAUAACUCGAUGGUCUGGCAUCAAAUUAAGUCUGGAUCUUUCCAAUUCAAUGAAGAAAUGAUCGAAACGCUCUUUGGUUGCAACUCUGAAAAUAAGCAAAAGAACAAUCUAAAGAAAGAAAAUAUGCGUGAUGCUUCAGUCCAGCAUUAUCAGCUUCUUGAACCGAAGAAGUCACAGAACCUAUCCAUUCUUCUACGAGCUCUUAAUGUCACUACUGAAGAAGUUUGUGAUGCACUCUUGGAAGGAAAUGAGCUUAGUGUUGAGCUACUUCAAACUUUAAUAAAGAUGGAACCAACUGCUGAGGAAGAAUUUAAGCUCAGAAUGUACAGUGGUGAUCUUUCACAGCUUGGACCUGCAGAACGCUUUUUGAAGGCAUUAGUAAAUAUCCCAUUUGCCUUUAGGCGCUUUGAUGCAUUGCUGUUCAUGGGCAUUCUUGGAGAGGAAGUUUCUACCAUUAAGGCAUCUUUUAUGACUCUGGAGGUUGCUUGUGCAGAACUGAAAAGCAGUCGUCUUUUCAUGAAACUUCUGGAAGCUGUUCUUAAAACAGGAAAUCGCAUGAAUGAUGGGACCUUCCGUGGAGGUGCUCAGGCUUUCAAACUUGACACAUUGCUAAAGCUCUCUGAUGUUAAAGGAACAGAUGGGAAGACAACCUUGCUGCAUUUUGUUGUUCAGGAGAUCAUACGAUCUGAAGGUGUGCGUGCAGCUCGUGCAGCCAGAGAAAGUAGGAGUAUCUCCAGUCUAAAUUCUGAGGAGAGCUUGGAAGAAUAUCCCAAUGAAAGCAUAGAGCAUUUCCGCAGCUUAGGUUUGCAGGCAGUAUCUGGGCUCGGGGCUGAGCUUGAGAAUGUGAAAAAGGCAGCAGCAUUUGAUGCAGACAUGUUGACAAGCAAUGUAUCUACUCUUGCCAACAUGCUUCUGAAGACCAAGACAUUCUUGAAUUCAGAGAUGAAAAGUGUGGAAGAAAGUGGUCACUUUGUCCAAAUCUUGAAGUGUUUCGUGGAAAAUGCAGAAGAUGAAAUUACACAGCUGCUGACUGAGGAGAAGAAAAUUAUGUCACUGGUAAAGAGCACAACAGAUUAUUUUCAUGGUAAUUCCUCUAAAGAUGAAGGGUUACGGUUAUUUGUCAUAGUACGUGACUUUUUAUGCAUGUUGGACAAAGUAUGUAAAGAAGUCCGUGAGAACCCAAGGCAUGUGCCACAGACACCACAGACAAAAGGGCCAUCAUCUGUGACAGCUCGAAGCCCAAAGCAUGCACUCUUCCCAGCCAUGGAUAGUCGACUUGAUGACUCAGAUGAUGAGGAUAGUUCAUCUCGCUAAUGUCACUAUGAGGUAAUUACGGAGAAAUUUUCAUAUUAUUCUCCUGAAAAUGAACAUACCAUCAGACGCUCCAGAAGCUGAGAGCUCCAGCUGCCAUCGAACCAAAGGUAUUUGGCUCGUCUACGCAGCCCACGGCUCUGCCCUGUUUUCAUACUUGAACCAACAUCCUUUUGUAGGACAAGAUGACCAUCUCAUACAGAAGAUGUGUUCGUCUGGUAGUGGGGCGCAGCCUGUACAGUUCUCAAUGGUAACAGGGGGAAUAUUGAAGGAUAUGACUCAAUGAGCUUUGCCUAGUAUGGACUUCAAAUCGAAGCAACCAUCGCUACUUAUCGGAAGAAGCAUUACCAUCAUCAUAUCAAUUUAAAGCUGCAGCCUGCUACAAAAUUGAAAACGGUCGCCGGGGGAAUCCCUUCAGAUGGUCCUUCCAGCGUUAUUCCCAUCCUGUUUGGGUGAUAUUAGUGGAGAGCUGUUCCGUUAUAAGUCAAUAUAUUUUCGAAUUGAUAUAGUCGUAUGAGCUCCAAGAAUUGCUAAGUAACCGAGCUGGGCUUUCGGCAACUGUUUGGCUACUAUAUGCCUAUUUUAGCGGGUGUUUGAUGACGAAGAUCUUUUCAAGCAAAUUUUCUUGCCGCUUAAUGCAACACAGAAAACAAGUCAGCCUCUUAGAGCUGAACUUUUCUUCCCAAUUCUUUUGCCGUUGGCACUCACGGCCGGUACACAACACAAAUCGUUUUCAGGGUUAUCAAACGUCCCUCAUUCUACCAACUAAAAUUAGAACUGAUUCAAUGACGGGAUGUGUUUCGUCACCGAAUUUUUGUUGUGGAUAAGCUAGAAACUCAAAUGCACUGGUUAAAUCACCAUAUUCCUGUCAGUUACUGUAUCAA